rnacentral:rRNA from 1 species
UACGGAGGGUGCAAGCGUUAUCCGGAUUCACUGGGUUUAAAGGGUGCGUAGGUGGGCAAGUAAGUCAGUGGUGAAAUCUCCGGGCUUAACCCGGAAACUGCCAUUGAUACUAUUUGUCUUGAAUACUGUGGAGGUCAGCGGAAUAUGUCAUGUAGCGGUGAAAUGCUUAGAUAUGACAUAGAACACCAAUUUGCGAAGGCAGCUGGCUACACAAAUAUUGACACUG